CAGGAGGCUAGGUCGCGGAGCUAGGCCUUCCGUGCUGCUAAAAGCAGUGGCAAAUGGUCUAAAUGGCCGACCGAAGCCUGAGGGCGGUAUAAACUUAUAAAAAGGUCCAAGCCUCUAACUGAGAAGUCUCGCCUUUCAGGGUGAGCAGCCUAACAAAACCGAGGAGGUCCGGAAGGAAGCACUCGUAAGUUAGGUUGUCUCAUGCUUGAAAGAUACGGGAUGGAGAAGGAGGUUUGGAGCAACCUUUUUGUAAGGUUAUAUCCACCGACGGCAUGCCUCCUG
rnacentral:SRP_RNA from 1 species